rnacentral:rRNA from 1 species
UCGAGCGCGAAAGUUUUCGGACUUAGUAAAGCGGCGGACGGGUGAGUAACGCGUGGGAAUCUGCCUGGUAGUGGGGGACAACAGCCGGAAACGGCUGCUAAUACCGCAUACGCCCUACGGGGGAAAGGGGGGGAUCUUCGGACCUCUCGCUAUCAGAUGAGCCCGCGUCGGAUUAGCUUGUUGGUGAGGUAAAGGCUCACCAAGGCGACGAUCCGUAACUGGUCUGAGAGGAUGAUCAGUCACACUGGAACUGAGACACGGUCCAGACUCCUACGGGAGGCAGCAGUGGGGAAUAUUGGACAAUGGGGGCAACCCUGAUCCAGCCAUGCCGCGUGUGUGAAGAAGGCCUUAGGGUUGUAGAGCACUUUCAGUGGGGAGAAAGGUUAUUCACCUAAUACGUGAGUAGAUUGAUGCUACCCACAGAAGAAGCACCGGCUAACUCCGUGCNNNNANNNGCG